rnacentral:rRNA from 1 species
AGAGUUUGAUCCUGGCUCAGGACGAACGCUGGCGGCGUGCCUAAUACAUGCAAGUAGAACGCUGAAGGAGGAGCUUGCUUCUCUGGAUGAGUUGCGAACGGGUGAGUAACGCGUAGGUAACCUGCCUGGUAGCGGGGGAUAACUAUUGGAAACGAUAGCUAAUACCGCAUAAGAGUGGAUGUUGCAUGACAUUUGCUUAAAAGGUGCACUUGCAUCACUACCAGAUGGACCUGCGUUGUAUUAGCUAGUUGGUGGGGUAAGGGCUCACCAAGGCGACGAUACAUAGCCGACCUGAGAGGGUGAUCGGCCACACUGGGACUGAGACACGGCCCAGACUCCUACGGGAGGCAGCAGUAGGGAAUCUUCGGCAAUGGACGGAAGUCUGACCGAGCAACGCCGCGUGAGUGAAGAAGGUUUUCGGAUCGUAAAGCUCUGUUGUAAGAGAAGAACGAGUGUGAGAGUGGAAAGUUCACACUGUGACGGUAUCUUACCAGAAAGGGACGGCUAACUACGUGCCAGCAGCCGCGGUAAUACGUAGGUCCCGAGCGUUGUCCGGAUUUAUUGGGCGUAAAGCGAGCGCAGGCGGUUAGAUAAGUCUGAAGUUAAAGGCUGUGGCUUAACCAUAGUAGGCUUUGGAAACUGUUUAACUUGAGUGCAAGAGGGGAGAGUGGAAUUCCAUGUGUAGCGGUGAAAUGCGUAGAUAUAUGGAGGAACACCGGUGGCGAAAGCGGCUCUCUGGCUUGUAACUGACGCUGAGGCUCGAAAGCGUGGGGAGCAAACAGGAUUAGAUACCCUGGUAGUCCACGCUGUAAACGAUGAGUGCUAGGUGUUAGACCCUUUCCGGGGNCUCCAGCAAAUUUCUUUCUGGGUCUACUAGGAUGUACCUUUUUAGGGUCUUCCAGGAAGUCUUUAGCCGUCGGUAAGAUUGGAUUGUCUAGGGGUUGAUUCAGGUUCAGUUUAGCUUGUUUUCUUACUCUCUUCUUUGUCUUUCUGUGAGACUUAGGAGAAAGGAUGUUUUUCUUAUAGAGUAUUUUUCUAACAGUUGUAUCAGAGAGCUUAAUUCCCUCUUCUUCAGCUAGUAAUUCACAGAAAUGAAGGACAUUUGGUUUAUAUGUUUCAUAGGAGAGGUAUUUCUUUAGGAUACGUUCUUUGAUUUCAUCAGGGAUUGCAUGUUUUGGUUUUCGAUUUCUGUUUCCGUGUCUGAAGGCUUCCUUUCCUUUCUGUUGAUAGGCUAGUAACAGACGAUUGAUUUGUCUUUCAGAAAGAUUGAGUUCGACACAGGCCCGUUUCUUUGUUUUCUUUCCUUGGGCUAUAGCUUUUAUCACAAGAUAUUUUUUCGUUUCAUUCAUAUUCAGUUGGAUCCUUUUCAUAUGACUAUUCUACCAAAUGGGACAUUUUCACGUUCGAUUUACUAAAGACAUUAUCACAUUCGAAUUACAUAUUUUAGAGAAAAAAUCUCAAAAGUGAUUGACAAUUAGCAAGAAAUUGAUAUAAUGGUUAUAUCUGCUACAGAUAGAAGGUCCGUUGGUCAAGGGGUUAAGACACCGCCUUUUCACGGCGGUAACACGGGUUCGAAUCCCGUACGGACUAUUUUAUCCGCCAUAGCUCAGUUGGUAGUAGCGCAUGACUGUUAAUCAUGAUGUCGUAGGUUCGAGUCCUACUGGCGGAGUAUAGAUAAAAGGGAACACAGCUGUGUUCCUCUUUUUGUAUCAAUU